AGAGGACUGCCCCCACUCUGUCCGCAGCAGGGGUAUGGGAGGCAGCUCGGGACACUCCAGGGACCAAGCGGGCAGUGGGCGCCGUCCCCGAGGAACACCCAGCCCAGCGCCCCUGGUUCUGGGCUGGUUGGCUUAUCGAGGCCGGUUGGCCAAAGCAUCAGGAAAGGGAACAUUCUCGGCCGGGUGUUGGAUACCAAAUUAUAAACGCCAGAGCACCUUGUGUAAAGAUGAAUAUCGUUUUGUUACUGCGGGAGGGAAUACACCUACUGCUUUGAAAGGAGUUUAAAAUAUUCAGCAGACAGCACCGCAUUGAAAUUAGUGCAUUGAGCUGCAGACCAAACUAAUUUCUAGAACAGUCUAAAAAGUAAAAACAAAGUUUGGCAAAAAUGACAACUUUGCUUGAGAACAGCUCUGGAAAAGCGAAUCCACUGAGAGCCGUGGGAAUUCUCCGCCAGCUGUGCUUCCCCAACCGAGGAAGAAUCCAACCCGGAAUAUCGUUUCUGGACCCCACCGCGGAGACCCCAGCUGGACCCUCUCCUGAAAACUGCCCGGGGAGGGGGGUGCGGUCUCAGCGCCCUCCACUGCGGGGUCCAAGGCGCAGUAGCGGGGCGCGACCCCAGCGCUCCAAGCCCAGCAUUCUUGGCAGCUCUCCAGGCCCCAGUCAGAGGCACAUUGACCUUGAAGUUGCACUUGACUCGCCCACUCGGGGCUGCCUGGUGGCGCCUGGGUCAGCUUGAAACCCACGCAGCUGAGGGAGCUAGGUGUGGGGUUCACCAUACUGCGCCCCCGCCGGAUUUGGGAGCGCGGGAUCUACUCGGAGGCAGAGAGAUUAGCCCCAGAGGUCAAGCCUUUCGGCGUCGUUUUGUCAUCUGUAUUUUCUCGUCCCCUUCGCCGCCGAGUCCUACAAAGCUCACUUCAGAGAGACUGGGUCCACAUGUGUGGGCUCAUGAGGAGGAGGACAGCGAGGGUGACGACGCUGGGGGACUAGCGCGAGCUGGCGCAUUCCUGGCAGUGAGCCAAGGGCCCCCCGUCUUGCUAGUCUUUCCAAGUUGCUUGGCAAUUCCAAAAAUUUCGACUGUGGGAAAGUUGAAACUUGUUCGUAUAGCGUUCUUUCGAAAAGAUUUUCCUUGUCUGUAUCUAUUUUACAGAAAACAUACUGGUCCUCACUACUGUUUGGGGACGAGUUAGCCUAAAUUUGAACAGACCUUGAAGACAAACCCUGAGCCCCGGGAGGCAGCCUUCUCAGCGCGAGGUGCACACACAAGUCCCCGAGCCCACCGCGAGGGUCUCACCUGGCUCCUGCGUGGUCUUUCCCCACUUUGGCGACUUUGAAGGCCAGGGGGACCGUACAGUGAGCGAAUAACUUAGCGCCUGCAUUAUCACUGCUGAAACCUCAGAGAACAAUGUAGGACAUGCGGGUGCAGGUAGAGCAAAACUAGUGAAAAGAGUUUAUGAGGAAUUCAUACCGCCUCGCCUACUUGGGACAACUCCUUCAUUCAGUUGUCCUCCCUAGGGGGCUGUUAUGCUUAUUUGUGUCAGACCCUUCUUUCCCCUGGAAUCUUAUCAUCACAGAAUAUUAAACAUUUGAAAAAAUUUUAAAGAUUAAACUUGUUCGAGGAAAAAAUGGUAAACACUGUUAGGGAUUGCCUGGCGUGCACAAAUUAAGGAAAGAAAGAAACUGAAAAUUUCAGCGCGGCUUUGGGAAUUUUUAGCUUUGCGAUUUAAAACCCACAGCGCCAUCUCCUGGUAAUGAGGAGAAUAUAGCGAUGGAUGACAAUACUGAAAUGCUGACUAUGAAAUACUCAAAUAUGAGAAACGCCUCAAAAAUUAUUUCAGUGAUAGGUUGAUUAUGAUUACAAAAUAUGAUCUGACAUGGACAUUUAUUAUCAUUAAAAGUUAUCAGACACAAUCCUGGAAGCUAAUUAUUUGUAAAUAGAAGUUUGUAUAUUUAUACAUACAUGUAUUUUAUAGAUUCAGACGCUUAUGCUGUGAAUUUACAAGAUAUGAUUCUAUAAUUUAUCAUAAAUACAUAAUUUUACAAAACAGUUCCCUGUUUUACUUUUUGUGAAUGAUUUUACCAUAUAUGGUAGAAAAAGAAUAAUAGGAUGUGGUGAUCUAUGGAGACAUAAAAUCUUCUAGAUCCUCAUUGUAUUUUACUAGUCAACAUUAAUAAAUACUUUAGCCCCAUUGUCUCAAUAACUUCUCACUUUAUCUAUGUCUUCUCAUCAUGCAAUCUUACAGAAUGUCUUACUGUCUUAAUGUUAAGACAUCAUGACAAAAAUGUGUUAACAUUAUUCAGACAUUCUGAUCCUGAAAUAUCAUCUGAAGUUAAAUUAUUUUCCAAAAGUUUAAUGCACAUAAUAGAAUCAUAAAUACUUAAUACUUUUCUAUUAAAAUGUUUCUGAAGUAUUCUUUCAAGCUUUUCUCCCUUUUAUAAAUAAGAUUGAAACACACUAAAAUUUAGAGAUGAUAUCCCUAUUAAAAACAUUUCUCCUCUAUGAUUGUAUACACAGGCCAGCUGCUUGAAAUAAAAAUAAAAGUAGAUAUGCUUUUUGUAGUGUACAAAAUAUUAUGAAUAUCCUUCAAAAUUGUAGAUCAAACAGACAAAUGUAAACUUCAGUUGAAAGAUUCAUUUUAUUUGAUUAAUUAAAGUGAAGAUCUAUUAAGCCAAAUA
rnacentral:lncRNA from 1 species